AUACGGAGGGUGCAAGCGUUACUCGGAAUCACUGGGCGUAAAGCGCGCGCAGGCGGCUAUUUAAGUUGGAUGUGAAAGCCUAUGGCUCAACCAUAGAACUGCAUCCAAAACUAUUUAGCUAGAGUGUGGGAGAGGAAGAUGGAAUUAGUUGUGUAGGGGUAAAAUCCGUAGAGAUAACUAGGAAUACCAAAAGCGAAGGCAAUCUUCUGGAACACUACUGACGCUGAGGCGCGAAGGCGUGGGGAGCAAACAGGAUUAGAAACCCCGGUAGUCC
rnacentral:rRNA from 1 species